GCAGCCCCUCGCCCAGCCGCCGGCCCUCCUGGCUUCUGGGCGGCGACUACAGAGCCUCCUGAGGCGACCGAGCGUCCGCACGUAAGGGGCGUGGCCACGCUCGCCGCGCGCCCCGGGAAGACGGCCGAGCGGCGGCCGGCUGCAGAUGAUGAUGUCUAUAUUGGAAGAAAUAGGAGCUCCAGAGACAUUGAAGAGAGUUCCCUUCCCCAGGGAGCAAGGUCAGCUCAAGUGGCUCUAGUCCUGAUCAGCAGCAGGCGAAGUAGGCAUUCGGUGACACUGCUUGGUGUUCCCAUCUGCAGCGGGAGCUGCAGAGGACAUGUCAGCGUGGAGCUGCUGGAGGGCUACUGCCUAACGAGCAUUGGGGAAAAUCGGCUUUCCUUGGCUCGGUUCUCCUUGGAGUGGACAUUGCUCAGAGAUCCAUAGAAUCAGGAAUACACUCAUCCAUCCACUACUCAGAAUAGUUUAAAAAUCUUUGGGGAGAGCAUGAACACAGUCUUCCACUACCACAAAUUAUGCAGUCGAGUUUCCCACAUUUGGGGAAAUUGCAGGGGUCAGCACAUCCGGAAUGCAAUGGAUGAGCCUCGCUCUGGGAAAACCACCUUCAUGAUCAUGGUAUCUCC